GAUGAACGCUAGCUACAGGCUUAACACAUGCAAGUCGAGGGACCGGCGCACGGGUGAGUGACACGUAUCUAACCUGCCCUUUACUCGGGCAUAGCCUUUCGAAAGAAAGAUUAAUACCCGAUAUAAAGGAUGGGGAUGCGUUCCAUUAGGUUGUUGGUGAGGUAACGGCCCGCCAAGCCUUCGAUGGAUAGGGGUUCUGAGAGGAAGGUACCCCACAUUGGAACUGAGGCCCGGUCCAAACUCGUAGGGGAGGCAGCAGUAAGGAAUAUUGGUCAAUGGGCGUUAGCCUGACCCAGCCAAGUAGCGUGAAGAAUGAAGGCUUAUGGAUCGUAAACUUCUUUUAUAUAAGAAUAUGUAUUAUAUGAAUAAGGAUCGGCUAACUCCGUGCCAGCAGCCGCGGUAAUAC
rnacentral:rRNA from 1 species